rnacentral:rRNA from 1 species
AGUUUGAUCCUGGCUCAGAUUGAACGCUGGCGGCAGGCCUAACACAUGCAAGUCGAGCGGUAGCACAGGGAGCUUGCUCCUGGGUGACGAGCGGCGGACGGGUGAGUAAUGUCUGGGAAACUGCCUGAUGGAGGGGGAUAACUACUGGAAACGGUAGCUAAUACCGCAUAACGUCGCAAGACCAAAGAGGGGGACCUUCGGGCCUCUUGCCAUCAGAUGUGCCCAGAUGGGAUUAGCUAGUAGGUGGGGUAAUGGCUCACCUAGGCGACGAUCCCUAGCUGGUCUGAGAGGAUGACCAGCCACACUGGAACUGAGACACGGUCCAGACUCCUACGGGAGGCAGCAGUGGGGAAUAUUGCACAAUGGGCGCAAGCCUGAUGCAGCCAUGCCGCGUGUAUGAAGAAGGCCUUCGGGUUGUAAAGUACUUUCAGCGAGGAGGAAGGCAUUGUGGUUAAUAACCACAGUGAUUGACGUUACUCGCAGAAGAAGCACCGGCUAACUCCGUGCCAGCAGCCGCGGUAAUACGGAGGGUGCAAGCGUUAAUCGGAAUUACUGGGCGUAAAGCGCACGCAGGCGGUCUGUCAAGUCGGAUGUGAAAUCCCCGGGCUCAACCUGGGAACUGCAUUCGAAACUGGCAGGCUAGAGUCUUGUAGAGGGGGGGUAGAAUUCCAGGUGUAGCGGUGAA